GACAGCGCUCCUCUCGCCCAGCCAUCAGGGCCGUGGUGCAGGGCCUGGGAGGCGGGCUUUGAACGCAAGCUUGGCCUGAGCCUGCCGUGCUGCCCCGGCCCAGGCUCGGCGUCUCGCUGCCGUUCAGCUCAGCCCCAGAUCCAAGGACGUCUGACGCCGAUUCCCCUGGUGGCACGCGAGCAGGCAGUCAGGGUGGAGAGGAAAUCCGCCACCGUGGUGCUUCCUCCUGGAAGGCACACUACGCACACUGCUCUGUGGUGGCACCAUGGGGUGCAGAGACCCUGCCUCAGAAGCUGCUGUCUCCCCUGGGUGCCUCCCAGACCGAGUCCUCUGCAAACGUCCCCUGUCAGCCGCCUGGUGAGUAACCAGCAUGUGACCUCCAUGUCUAUUUCUAGGCACCUUGUUCAAUAAAGGUCAAGCUGGCCUCCCUGACAUGCAGGCCACAUGUCAGUGCCUGAGGCCUCCACUCCCUCCGAUGUCACCACACAAUGGAACCAGCUCCCUGCGUGGGGCUGUUCCUGUAGCUGGGAAGAUAUCUGCAAGUUCUGAGCAUGAAAGUGACAGCAGUUAGCCAAGAAGACACGCUCACCUGGAAAAGCCAGUGGGAACGACGUCCACUGAGAGAUCAAGGUCAGCGUCACCGGCGUGAGCCCUGUAGGCACCAGGAGCCCCAUGACGCGUGCUCAAGGACACAGCACCAUUUCUGGGGCAUUCUUGCCAAGAAUGCAUGUCCUCAGUUCACUCACAAGGAAGCACAGACAGCGAUUUGGACCAGGUAACAGAGCCCUCAUACGCGGCUGCAGCUCAGACCCUCGGCACCUCUGCCCGAAGCCCAAGCUGCCUCCACACCGUUAGCCCAGGGGCAGUCCCUGGUGACACACACCAGAGAGGUCUAAAUUUGGAAAAAUUCGCAACCUAAGGGCGGGCGCCCUGGAAAUGGCCCUGAGGGUCCACCUCCUGGGCCCUGGCCUCCGCCCACCCCACCCCGAUCAUCAGAGGAAGGCCAUCUCAGAGGCACAGUCAUCCUGGCUGCAGGAGGGGACCACAUCCUGUCUGACAGCAGCUCCUUGUUAGCUGUGCAGGCCCUGCUGCCAGUCGCUCCCUGUGUGCUCGGUGAGGGGAGAAGCUUCCCCCACCCAGUGAGGGGGCCAGGGGAGCUGCCAGCUCGCCUGUUCCCACUGAGGCAGGGAGGGGCAGAAACCAGGCUCAGCAUUCCGGGGC